rnacentral:sRNA from 1 species
GCUGGGCGUGGUGGCACAUGCCUGUAAUCCCAGUGGCUUGGGAGGCUAAGGCAGGAGGAUCAUGAGUUCAAAGCCAGUCUCAGCAAUGGCGAGGCGCUAAGCAACUCAGUGAGAUUCUGUCUCUA